rnacentral:rRNA from 1 species
UACGUAGGGGGCUAGCGUUGUCCGGAUUUAUUGGGCGUAAAGAGCGUGUAGGCGGCCAGGUAGGUCUGCUGUGAAAACUCGAGGCUCAACCUCGAGACGUCGGCGGAAACCAUCUGGCUAGAGUCCGGAAGAGGAGAGUGGAAUUCCUGGUGUAGCGGUGAAAUGUGUAGAUAUCUGGAGGAACACCGGUGGCGAAGGCGGCAUCCUGGACCAACACUGACGCUGAGGAGCGAAAGCCAGGGGAGCAAACGGG